rnacentral:rRNA from 1 species
UACGUAGGGUGCAAGCGUUAAUCGGAAUACUGGGCGUAAAGCGUGCGCAGGCGGUGAUGUAAGACAGUUGUGAAAUCCCCGGGCUCAACCUGGGAACUGCAUCUGUGACUGCAUCGCUGGAGUGCGGCAGAGGGGGAUGGAAUUCCGCGUGUAGCAGUGAAAUGCGUAGAUAUGCGGAGGAACACCGAUGGCGAAGGCAAUCCCCUGGCCUGCACUGACGCUCACGUGCACGAAAGCGUGGGGAGCGAAACAAGG